CAUAUGGUCGACCUGCAGGCGGCCGCGAAUUCACUAGUGAUUAGAGUUUGAUCAUGGCUCAGAUUGAACGCUGGCGGCAGGCCUAACACAUGCAAGUCGAGCGGCAGCGGGGGGAAGCUUGCUUCCCCGCCGGCGAGCGGCGGACGGGUGAGUAAUGUCUGGGGAUCUGCCCGAUGGAGGGGGAUAACCACUGGAAACGGUGGCUAAUACCGCAUAACCUCUUUGGAGUAAAGUGGGGGACCUUCGGGCCUCACGCCAUCGGAUGAACCCAGAUGGGAUUAGCUAGUAGGUGGGGUAAUGGCUCACCUAGGCGACGAUCCCUAGCUGGUCUGAGAGGAUGACCAGCCACACUGGGACUGAGACACGGCCCAGACUCCUACGGGAGGCAGCAGUGGGGAAUAUUGCACAAUGGGCGCAAGCCUGAUGCAGCCAUGCCGCGUGUAUGAAGAAGGCCUUCGGGUUGUAAAGUACUUUCAGCGGGGAGGAAGGCAACAGCGUGAAUAGCGCUGUUGAUUGACGUUACCCGCAGAAGAAGCACCGGCUAACUCCGUGCCAGCAGCCGCGGUAAUACGAAUCGAAUUCCCGCGGCCGCCAUGGCGGCCGGGAGCAUG
rnacentral:rRNA from 1 species